rnacentral:lncRNA from 1 species
GGGGUGGGUUGCCUUCUACAGUGAUGAUAGAAGUGAGGAAAAGCCAUGGGCUCUGUUUUGAGCAUUUGAGUUUAAGAUGUCUGCAGAGAAUCCAGUCUGAACCGACAUUGGGGAUGACAGGCAAGGGUUAGGGUAUGCCCAGAGAUGGGCAUUAAAUCCAUGGGAGCUGAUGAGAUUGAGAGAAGUUGAGGGAGAAGGGGAGCCAGGACAGGACUUUGGGGGACACCUUCUGUUAGGGGAUGUGCCCUGGAUGGAGAUCCAGAAAGGAGAGGGAGGAGCAUCAGAGAAUGAGGAGGAGAACCAGAGAGGAGUCAUCCAAAAACCCAGGAAGAAGGUAGUCAGGAGUAUCCAAGGCUGGGGAAGGAGGAGGAGGGAAAAGCCUUUGAAUUUGGCACCUAAGAGAUCAGUGAUGACUGGAGAGGGCCAUUUGGGUGAAAUGAUGGAGCUGGAAGCUGGAUUUGGGGUUAAGAACUGAGAGGAAGGGCUGGGUCCAAGGAGAGGCCUUUGCAGGAGGAGGGAGACAGGCAGGUUUGCAGCCAGUGAGGAAGAAGCCAGAUUGAACUGCACUGAAGCAGAGACUCUAGAGUUAAUUCAUGGAAAACAGGCUCGAAGAGGAACCAGAACCAGAAAAUUAGCCUUCGGUUCUGCCGCAGGACUUGGCGCUUGUUCUGCAACGGGGGAUCGAGGCCCAUCGAGGAGGCUCUGCUACCCACUGCCAUGUCGCCGAUGCUGUAGUUUCAUUCUGUUUAGAACGUGGGCUCGUCGGGCUAAACGUCCCAGAGCUCAGAGCGUUGGCUGCCAUGACCUAAGCAUCCCGGAAGCAUGGGAGUUGGUGGUGUGGGAGCUGGGGAGCCGGGGAGCCGGGGUCCCAUGGCGGCAGCGGCGAGAGGCCUGAGCCUGAGACAGGGAAGGGCGGACUGGCAGUCGAGGCCAGAGAGCAGAGUGUCAACACCAAAGCGAGGCUUUGCUGAGGAGGCGGCAUCUCGGGGGAUGACUAUGGACAGACCUUGGAACAAGUUGGGAAAAAUCUGGGAGGAAUGGGAAGACAACGUGUUGGGGAAGCAGCAAGGAAACAAGGAGAGACCUUCCAAGGAAAUGAAUAGCACCCAUGAGAACGUUUUUCCUGAGGACAGAGACGAAGGAAUCAAAGAUUUGGGAGGAGGCUUGGUUUGGGAUCAGCUCCCAAUGCGCGACACAAAAUUCUUGGUGGAGAGACUUCUCCGACAUGGGAGGAACAUCGACAGAGAUGCAAACAAAAUCCAGGCCCAGCCCGUUCAGGGAAGGUGGGUCAUAAAUGUAGUGGCUGGGAAAGCCUUUGCCCGCAUUUCACACUUCACUGAACAUCCGAGAGUUCGUACUGGACAGAAGCCCUCUAAGUGUGGCGACUGUGGGAAAGCCUUCUUCUACAUUCCAUAUCCCAGCUGACUGGCCAGCAACGACUUCACACUGGAGAGAAACCCCACCAAUUGAAUGAAGGUGGGAAAAUGUUUGGCCACAGCAAAUCCCUUACAGAUCCCUCAGAAGAUUCAUGCCGGAAAGAAAGCCUACAUGUGUAGUGAGUGUGGGAAAGCCUUCAGUCAGGGCUCAACUCUUUCUUUACACCAGAGAAUCCACAGUGGGGAGAAGCCCUAUAAAUGCUCUAACUGUGGGAAAGUUUUCAGCCACUGCUCGUACCUCAUCUGGCAUCAUGUAGAUCACACUGGAGAAAAGCCCUACGAAGGUACAGAGUUGGAAGUCCUUUGGACUCUGCUCGUCCCUUUCGCUUCAUCAAAGAAUCCACACCAGAGGAAAACCUUACGAGUGUGGCGAGUGUGGAAAAACUUUCAGUCUGGGCUCUUACCUGUUGUUGCAACAGAAAAUGCACAUUAUGGAGAAGUCCUGCAAGUGUGAGGAAUGUGGGAAAGUCUUCAGCAAUGGCUCCUCUCUUAGGAAUCACGAGAGGACACACAUGUCACGAAUGUGGGAAGGCUUUCAGCCGCUUCAUCACAGUGGGGACUUGACAUGUGGUGAAUGUGGGAAAGGCUUUAGCUGGGUUUCCCAACUUUCUGAACACCUUCCAAAUGCCACGAAUGUGGGAAGGCCUUCAGCGUCAGCACGUUCCUGAUUAAGCAUAAGAAACGUCACACUGGAGAGAAGCCUUAUAAAUGCAGCGACUGUGAGAGAGCUUUCUUUGACAGCUUCACCUUAUUGUACCUCAGAGGACUCCCACCAGAGAAAAACCAUCAAAGUGCAAAGAAUGUGGCAAAGCCUUCCGCCACAGCUCAUCCCUUAGUCAACACCAGAGAAUUCACCGCAGAGAAAAAUCUUAUUGCUGUGGCGAGCGUGGGAAGGCCUUGACUCGCUUUUCCCGACUUGGUAUACGUCCAAGAAUUCAUCCUGGAGAGAAACCGUACAAAUGCGAGGAGUGGAACAAAGCCUUCACCCGUGGCUCCUCCCUUAACCGGCACAAGAAGACUCAUCCAGGGGAGAACUCUCAUAAACGCAAGGAAUGCCGAAGAGCCUUUGGGCAGAGUCCACGCCUUAGACAACAGCAGUGGGUUCACACUGGCGAGAAGCCUUGGCCACCUACCAGAUGUGUUCAUCCCUUCCAUGACACCAGAGCAGCCACCUGGGAGAGAAUCUUUGAGAAGGCAGCCCAAAUGGCGGAAGGCGUCCAUCAGGUUUGCCCUACGGUAGCUCACUAGUUGGGAUAUCAAGGAUGAGGGCUCUUUCCUCUUCUUGGUGGGCUCAUAAAGGCAAAAGCCAGUUCUUGUUCUCCAGGAACUUUUGAAUGGGAAGAAAGCUGAAAGGGGAGAUUCUGGGAAGGGCUCCCCUCCCCCCCUUGGAGUGACAGGGUGUUCUUGGGAGAGGCCAGGGCUGAAGUGCCCCCUCAGAUGAGGAGGUUUCUAGGCAAACUCCAAGCCAGUCCCAGUUAGUGAGAGACCAGCAUCCCUCAGCAAAACUGGGUCAUUGGGCUUCCUUUCCCUAAGAUGAUGGCUCUGGGCGUUUUUCCUCCUUUUCUCCCCUGGUUGCCCAUUACAUCUUGGUCUGUCUCGCUGCCAAUGGGUGGGAGGUACUGAAAGGGAAAUAGGCCAACGAACCCUGUGUGAACCAUACCAAGAUAAGCACCCUUCCUAGGCCAACAAACCCUGUGUGAUAACCACAUUGACCCCUCCACCCUGUGCGAUAACCACAUUGACCCUCGGUAAGUUCCAUGGUCAGUCCCGAGGGUAUAUAAGUUUGCCUUGGAAAUUGCUUCGGGGAGGAACUCCCUUUGGGCUCCUCCCUGCGCGUGUGAAAGUGUGUUGCAAUAAAGUACCUCUCUGUGCGGAUAGCA